GGAGCCCGAACGCUGCUCCUGCUCCCGCUCCCGCUCCCUCAGGAGUUCGGCGGUGCCGGCAAAGGCCCGGCCCGGCCCGGCCGCCUCAGCCCGCUCCCGGCAGCCCCUUCGCCCGGGCGGGACGGCGAGACGCCGGUUCGAAUCCCCCGCCCGGGGUUCGCAACCCAACCGGGGUUCGGAACCCAACUGGCGUUCAGAACCCAUCCGGUUCCGGCGCUCACAUCCCCGCCUGGGUCAGGAGGGAAGAGCCCCGAGCUGGGGUUAUGUCCGCCGGCACCUGGAAGCUGGACCGGACCGGGCCCGGUUUGUGUCCCCUGGGACCUGGAAGCCACGUCUGAGCCGGACCGGACCGGGCCCAGUUUGUGUCCCCCGGCACCUUGGACCCGCAGUUGGGCCGGACCGGGUCGGGCUGGGCCGGGUCCGUCCCCCCCGGUACUUGGAAGCUGCGGCUGGGCCGAACCGGAGCUGGACUGGACCGGGCCGGGCCAAAAGAUUCCCGGUCCUGGCAGGAAGAUUGUGGCUCCCCUGGAGCUUGGUUAAAGAGUUGAGUGAUGAUCCCUGCUCUCCAUAAAGGAGAGCCUCAAUCCUGUGCCAAAUGCCAGCAGAAACCAACGUGCUGUGAACUCUGAGGUCAGAGAUGAGCCAGUGUGCUUCUUACAGAAGAUGAAUCGUGGCUAAUUCUUAUUUGGAGAGGUAAAAAUAAAAAUAAAAAUCAGUCCACCAGCU